GGGUCCCCACGCCUGUCCACGGCCUCCAGAUCCAGGGCCAUUUCCCACCUCUGGAUCCAGAUCCAGGCACCUCAGGUGUCUCAGUGGGAAGUACUGCCUUCUCCCAUUUCCUGUGGGGCCUCAGUGGGGUCCCACGAGCAAAGAGGCACCACCCGUUUGCUGGUCAACCAGUCCUGGCACACCCCACACUUCCGCCAGAAGUGCUAGCAAUGGCCCCACUACCUCUACCACCCCUGUCCCUACAAACCUGCAGCUACGAUCUCUGGAGAACAGAUGAAGCUCGGUUCCCUGGGCUCUACCGGGGUGAGCCUGAAAGCUCUGCCGACCUCCUGGAACUCUCCCCUGGGCACUGCGGCCAAAUUCCAUCCCUUACCUACUACCAUGUUCCACGGGCCUAGGAAGUGAAAUCCGAAGAAGGCACCUUACCAGGGACCUAGACCUCUCUACCACCCGUUGCUCCCACUCACAAACCAGGCCGUCUGGGGAGAGCCCCGAAAAUUUUGAGAAAAAUCUAAGGAGCCGGUUCCCACCUUUCUGGGGCCCAGCCCAGGGCUGUCUCCCACCUCAGGAUCCAGAUCCAGGCACCUCAGCCAUCUCGGUGGGAAGCACUGCCUUCUCCGGUUUCCCGGGGAGCCUCAGUGGGGUCCCGCGAGCAGAAAGGCACCAUCCGUUUGCUGGUCAACCUGUCCUGGCACACCCCCACACCUCAGCCAGAAGUGCUAGCAAUGGCCCCACUACCUCCACCACCCCCGUCCCUGUGAACCUGCAGCUACAAUCUCUGGAGAACAGAUGAAACGCGGAUCCCUGGGCGCUCCAGGGGUGAGCCUGAAAGCUCUGCCGACCUCCUGGAACUCUGCUUGGGGCAUUGUGAUCAAUUCUCUUCCCUCACCGAUUGCCCGGAGCUCCGGAGGAAGGAAACAAUAUAAAUGUGGCCACCAGGUGGCGCCAGAAAACCGGUGCAGCGGUCAGCGGGACCCAUGGGGGCUGGUUGGGGUGCACCACCGGCCUCCCCUCUCCACUCAUGCCCGGCCUCAUCUCGCUCACCUCGGAGCUCAUCCCUUGCAGGGUUCCGAGCCCGCGGAGGGCGUUCUGCCUGGACUCCACCUCGGAGUUCACCACCGGCAUGGUGCAACCCUGGCUGCAGAAGGGGGAUUUGAUUUUGGGUUUUUGCCUUUCAAGAGAUAAGAGCAGGCCUUCUCUCGGCAACUCUGAGAUCACCAGACCAGCCGAAUCAGAUGCACCCCCAGAGACUUAUGCAGGUGCAGAAAACCAGCCAAUGAACCACCAGCCUGGACAGGUGGCCAGAUAGGCGCAGACCAUGUCCUUGCGGACAGUUUUCAGAAGCCAGGGGUGCCCGGUGAUUUGCGCUUGGCUGGGCACCUAGAUGUCACCCCACCCGACCCUGCCGACCCAGAAUUCCUUUAUGCUUUCCUCCACCUUUCCUAGUUCCACCUUAGCUGGCUCAGUUCCAAGACAGUCCAAUGAGGACCCCCAAAUUGAAAGUAAUGAAUGUGUCUAGUUUCUCCUUUUCAAAGUAGUGUUGGUAUUUUUACUGGGUUCAUACUUACCUCUCAAAAGUAAUUUUGUAUCAGCAUUUUUAUACUAGGAAUGUUUAUGUGUUGGGACAAAAAUUGACAAAAGGAACCACAUAAGAGUGAAGCAUUUCUGCUGGGCCAAAAAACAACCACCAAGCUAAACAGCAAACUAGCAAA